AAAUUGGAGAUAAAGAUGCCCAAGUUGCGAGCAUGAUGAAGUUUUUUUAUUUCAGAGAUGAUCGACCACCACGUCUUUGAGACACACUUGCAUACGCACAGAUACUUCAAUGGCAGCCUCAACAGAAUCUCCAUUAACACGCCUUCAGGUAACACCAUCGAUUAUCCUCCUCUGCUCUCUCCCCCUAGGGUUUUCUCCUAUUUCUACAUUCAGAUCUAUCUACCUUUUCAGUUUCAACUUUUCCCAAUGGUUACCAUGUUUGGCAAUUACUACCUUGAAAAGAAAAACCAAUUUUUGAUUUGUUUCGGACUACUCCCUUUCAUUCCUUUCAAAAUAGUUUGCUCAAAUUUAUUAAGUACUACUCCCUUCGUGCCAAGGAUGACACAAUUAUUAAAAAAAUAAUAAUUGAUAAUGUAAUUUUAUCAUUUUAGCUCUUUUAGUUGUGUCUUGUUGUUAGUUUUAAUAUUGAUGGAUGACUAAUAUCAAAACACCAUUUAUAUUCUUAAUGGUGUACUCUUAAUGAUACUUCUCUUUGCAAUAUUUUUCAAGAAUGAUAAUAAUAAGAGUAAUCAAUUACAUUAAGGAUAUAAUGGAAAAAAAUAAUUUUGUCGUAAAAAAGGACAAGUAAAAUAGGACAACAAAUUAGAAAAUUUGAAAUAAAUAAAAUGAGACGGAGGGAGUAUAUUCUUUUGUCAUAGUGUAUAAACUCACAUUCAAUAUAUAAUUAAUAAAAUUAAUUUAAUCAUCUCAUUUUAUGUGUCAUCAUUUUCUUUUUAGUCCGUCCCAAAAGUAAUGUUGUCUUUCUUUAUUUGGUAACUAUUUAAAAAUAUAAUUCCACUUUUACCCUUAUUAUUCUCACUUAAUUAAAAAAAAAAAUAGUAGCACAUUUUUUAUAAAGGACAAUUUCAUAAACAUUAUCAAGUCUUCUCUUAUUUCUUAAACUCCGUGUCCGAUCAAAUAACGAUAUAUAAAAUGGGACGGAGGAAAUAAAGAUUUUUUUAAAGAAUGAGCCACCAAUAAGGAUCAAUUAUUUUAAAAUAAAAAAAAAAUAUAAUAUAUCGUCCAACUAUUCUUAAUUUUUCUUAAAAUAUACUUACACUUUAAAAAAAAAAAAAAACAUCCUGCUCACUUUGCAUCUAAUUAGGAAAGAAAGGAUGUUUUUAGGUGGUAUAUUGUAAGAAAAAUAAUAAUUAGUUCAGAUUAUAAUCUAAAUGAAAUAAAAAUAAUUUUUAAAGUAAUUUGGCAUUGAGGAAAUUUACAAAAGAUCAUUUGGGUUUGUUUGGCCACGAGAUUGAAGGGGCUUUGGGCCACAGGUGACAAAAGAGUUUUAAAAUGAGAUGUAGGUGAUACAAGUCUUAAUUAUUAGUUAGAGGUGACAAUUACUUUAUUAUUGAUUAAGAAAAUUGAGAAAGUUUGAAAAUAACCCAUAAAUUUUUAAAUUUACACUUUGAUCCUAAUGUUUAUCUAAAAUAACGGGAAACGGAGGGAAAAAAAGGCUCCUUUCUCUUUCUAUUCCCAUCCAUUGUUGUUUUCUCUCUCUUAGCCAUUUUUGUUGUUCAUUAUUUGUGCUGCUUUAUUCAUUAUUUUCUCCAUUAUUAUCAUCUUCAUCUUCUUCUUGUCGACCAUUUGUUGUUGUUGGUACAGCGCUACUGCUGCUAUCUGACCAAUUUCUUAGAUCAAAUUUUGUUUAUUACAUCACUUUCCAUUUUGACGUUACUUCAUAAGUGACUUUGUUAAGUAAAGUUAUAAUUUUUUAUUCAUGUUUGUCAUCUGGGUACACUUUUGUUUUUCCAACAAUGGAUAGAACUCCGAUCAUGAAUUCAGCAUAAGUGCCUACAAUUUAAACAGAUCAAUCAUCUGGUGCAUCAGAUGAUUAAUCUGUUGCAUUAGAAGAUUUAUCUGUUGCAUCAGAAGAUUUAUCUGUUGCAUCAGACUGUUUAUCUAUUGCAUCAGAAGAUUUAUCUGAUUCAUCAGACGUAUUAUUUGUUGCAUCAGACGUAUUAUCUGUUGCAUCAGAAUGUUUAUCUGUUGCACCAGACUAAUUAUCCAUUGCAAUGAAUGAUUAAUCUGUUUGGAAAAACACAAAUCAGCCCCUGCCACAAACCCAACAGAUAACCAAUAUGUUUCAACUCUUGCUAUUGCUACUGGAUUCAAAAUUAUUUCUUACGUCCAAUUACCCAUCCCAAAUUUCCUAAUUCAGUUUCUCAUUUUACUUGUCUUUUUCAUUAAUAAAGAAAAGAUUAAAAAAAAUCCAUGUUUUACCCUUUGUAUUAAUCACUUUUUCUUCAAAUUAAAAUAAAAACAUCAUUUAAUAGGGGGACUAUACGUCGACCGACGGUAAAAACUUUCUUCUCUUAUAAAAUUUCGAUUGAAUAGCAAAAAAUAGUUAUUUCAAACACGUCUACUAUCCCACCAACUGAUCAGUGGGUUAUGGUAAACUAGACAUGUUAUUAAUUAUUUUUCUUAAUCAAUGUGGCAUCUCAAUUUGGGACGGAUAAUUUGAGAUGGAGGGAGUACGAAUUAAAACACCAGAGCCGGGCAGCAAACUAGUCAUCUGUUGAAACAGACUAUUUAUCUAUUGCAUCCGACUUCUUAUCUGUUGCAGCAUGAGUAAUCUGUUUUGAACAACACAUCAGCCCCUGCCACAAAACCAACAGAUAAAUCUUGCUAUUGCUACUGGAUUCUAAAUUAUUUCUUUUUUACAUCGAAUCGUCGACAUGUUUGUUGGGAAGAUAAUAGACAGAAUGAAAAAUUAAAUAUAGAUUAAAACGUCAAAGAUCUAACAUAAUUUUUUUAUUAAACAAAAACAAAUAAAAAUACAUAUAAUAGACUAAAAGAAAAAUAAUAAUCUAAUUAUUAUUAUUAUUAUUAUUAUUAUUAUUAUUAUUAUUAUUAUUAUUAUUAUUAUUAUUAUUGUCAUCAUCAUCAUCAUCAUCAUCAUCAUCAUCAUCAUUAUAAUUGCUAGCCGGUCAAUCUUCAAUCGGAAAUAGCAAGGCCCUCCUCAGCCUGCGUAUCUCGCGGAGCAUUCUUGCUCUAACUCCUCCCAGUUCCCAUUGCAGGUCACGAACUUGAUUCUAAAGUUCAUUCACGGCGUCUUGCAGAAAAACAACAUUCC
rnacentral:lncRNA from 1 species